CGGACCCUCAGUGCUCCUCUGUUGAACUCAAGAGCAGAACCUGUGUUGGCUUCAACAGGAGCAAGACUCAGCCCU
rnacentral:pre_miRNA from 1 species